UAAGCAAUUAUACCGUGAAACUGCGAAUGGCUCAUUAAAUCAGUUAUCGUUUAUUUGAUAAUACCUUACUACUUGGAUAACCGUGGUAAUUCUAGAGCUAAUACAUGCUGAAAAUCCCGACUUCGGAAGGGAUGUGUUUAUUAGAUAAAAAACCAAUGCCCUUCGGGGCUUUUUGGUGAUUCAUGAUAACUUUACGGAUCGCAUAGCCUUGCGCUGGCGACGGUUCAUUCAAAUUUCUGCCCUAUCAACUUUCGAUGGUAAGGUAUUGGCUUACCAUGGUUUCAACGGGUAACGGGGAAUUAGGGUUCGAUUCCGGAGAGGGAGCCUGAGAAACGGCUACCACAUCCAAGGAAGGCAGCAGGCGCGCAAAUUACCCAAUCCCGACACGGGGAGGUAGUGACAAUAAAUACUGAUACAGGGCUCUUUUGGGUCUUGUAAUUGGAAUGAGUACAAUUUAAACCUCUUAACGAGGAACAAUUGGAGGGCAAGUCUGGUGCCAGCAGCCGCGGUAAUUCCAGCUCCAAUAGCGUAUAUGAAAGUUGUUGCAGUUAAAAAGCUCGUAGUUGAAACUUGGGCCUGGCUGGCGGGUCCGCCUCACCGCGUGCACUC
rnacentral:rRNA from 1 species